GUGGGGAAUAUUGGACAAUGGGCGCAAGCCUGAUCCAGCCAUGCCGCGUGAGAGAUGAAGGCCCUAGGGUUGUAAAGCUCUUUCACCGGUGAAGAUAAUGACGGUAACCGGAGAAGAAGCCCCGGCUAACUUCGUGCCAGCAGCCGCGGUAAUACGAAGGGGGCUAGCGUUGUUCGGAAUUACUGGGCGUAAAGCGCACGUAGGCGGGUAUUUAAGUCAGGGGUGAAAUCCCGGAGCUCAACUACGGAACUGCCGUUGAUACUGGGUACCUAGAGUAUGGAAGAGGUAAGUGAAAUUCCGAGUGUAGAGGUGAAAUUCGUAGAUAUUCGGAGGAACACCAGUGGCGAAGGCGGCUUACUGGUCCAUUACUGUCGCUGAGGUGCGAAAGCGUGGGGAGCAAACAGGAUUAGAUACCCCGGUAGUCC
rnacentral:rRNA from 1 species